GCUCAACUGAGGAAUUGCUUUGGAAACUGGAUGACUUGAGUGCAGUAGAGGAAAGUGGAACUCCAUGUGUAGCGGUGAAAUGCGUAGAUAUAUGGAAGAACACCAGUGGCGAAGGCGGCUUUCUGGACUGUAACUGACGUUGAGGCUCGAAAGUGUGGGUAGCAAACAGGAUUAGAUACCCUGGUAGUCCACACCGUAAACGAUGAGUGCUAGGUGUUUGAGGGUUUCCACCCUUAAGUGCCGCAGCUAACGCAUUAAGCACUCCGCCUGGGGAGUACGACCGCAAGGUUGAAACUCAAAGGAAUUGACGGGGACCCGCACAAGCGGUGGAGCAUGAGGUUUAAUUCGAAGCAACGCGAAGAACCUUACCAGGUCUUGACAUCCCUUGACAACUCCAGAGAUGAGCGUUCCCUUCGGGGACAAGGUGACAGGUGGUGCAUGGUUGUCGUCAGCUCGUGUCGUGAGAUGUUGGGUUAAGUCCCGCAACGAGCGCAACCCUUAUUACUAGUUGCCAGCAUUCAGUUGGGCACUCUAGUGAGACUGCCGGUGACAAACCGGAGGAAGGUGGGGAUGACGUCAAAUCAUCAUGCCCCUUAUGACCUGGGGCUACACACGUGCUACAAUGGCGUAUACAACG
rnacentral:rRNA from 1 species